AUGAACGCUAGCGGCAGGCUUAAUACAUGCAAGUCGAGGGGGCAGCAAUGUCACCGGCGAACGGGUGCGUAACGCGUAUGCAACCUACCUACAUCAGGGGGAUAGCCCUAGGAAACUGGGAUUAACACCGCAUAAUACUAGACAUGGCAUCAUGAUUAGUUGAAAUAUUUAUAGGAUGUAGAUGGGCAUGCGUAGGAUUAGCUAGUUGGUAAGGUAACGGCUUACCAAGGCUACGAUCCUUAGGGGCUCUGAGAGGAGUAUCCCCCACACUGGCACUGAGAUACGGGCCAGACUCCUACGGGAGGCAGCAGUAGGGAAUAUUGGGCAAUGGAGGCAACUCUGACCCAGCCAUGCCGCGUGCAGGAAGACGGUCCUCUGGAUUGUAAACUGCUUUUGAAUGGGAAGAAUGUGCUCCUUGCGAGGGGUAAUGACGGUACCAUUAGAAUAAGCCACGGCUAACUACGU
rnacentral:rRNA from 1 species